AUAAAUGGGUGAGCAAAGAAAGUGGUUUCUUGACGUGGAGUCUCCUUCUAAUGAAGGUGCUGUGCA
rnacentral:pre_miRNA from 1 species